GGGCACGGGGGGGCUCCAAGAAGCCAAGAGCAAGCCACUACUGCUUGGAUCAUUGGGCUACCAGCUCUAGUUUAGUACAGAAGCAAAAUAACGAGUAGUUUUCCAUUGGAAGUCCUCAAGUGAAGUCGAUACUCAAAACAUCCGAGACGUCAUCUCCACUCAACGCACUCGUGUACCGAAACAACCUUUGACAGAGUCUUCAUUAAUUGUGACAUUUGAAAAUACAAAAACGGAAAGAAGUACGGAAAGCAAAAUAUCAUCACAUCCUCCUCCUUCUCCGUGAUAACGUCAUCGUAAUCAUCGUCGUCACCACUAUUACUACCUACAAGGCCGCAACCGAAAA